rnacentral:pre_miRNA from 1 species
UUAGUACUCCCUCCGAUUCUUAUUAAUUGUCGAAAUAUUACAUGUAUCUAAAUGUUUUUUAGUCAUAUAUACAUCCAUAUCUGGACAAAUUUGAGAUAAUUAAUAUGAAUCGGAGGGAGUACUAA